rnacentral:rRNA from 1 species
UGAGGAAUCUUGCGCAAUGGGGGAAACCCUGACGCAGCAAUGCCGCGUGCGGGAGGACGCCCUUCGGGUGUAAACCGCUUUAGUGGGGGAAGAGUUUGGACGGUACCCCACCAACAAGUCACGGCUAACUACGUGCCAGCAGCCGCGGUAAUACGUAGGUGGCAAACGUUAUCCGGAGUAACUGGGCGUAAAGGGUCCGCAGGCGGGCGCGCACGUCUGGCGUGAAAGCCCCCGGCUCAACUGGGGGAGGCCGCUGGGUACGGCGCGUCUUGAAUCCGACAGAGGUCGGCGGAAUUUCCGGUGUAGUGGUGGAAUGCGUAGAGAUCGGGAGGAACGCCAAAGGCGCAGGCAGCUGGCUGGGUCUGGAUUGACGCUGAGGGACGAAAGCGUGGGGAGCGAACAGGAUUAGAUACCCCCGUAGUCC